GAAUACAUGAGCAAUGUCGACCUAUGCUGCUAUAUUUACUACUGUUCGUGAUAAUACACUAAGGCUCUGCUUUGGAUGGCAGAGCGUGUAACAAAGCACAAGGAUGGAUGAGGACAACAUCGGGGCCUCCCCCGGGGCACCCCACCUCUGCAGCAGAGUGCGCUCUGACGUGCAGGUGCUUAGACGGAAAUGCCGCCCUCACCUGGCCUCACUGGCAGCCCCUGCGCCCCUCUGCGCUGCCACCUCACCAGCUACCAAACAGCAGCGGUCACUUCCCGCGUCCCUGCUCUCCGCUACUUCUCCCAGCACACAGCAGCUGCUUGCAACGAGGCUCCUCAGGAAGGACAGGAAGCAGCCUUCAAGAAGGUGCCAUCGGAGAGCAACACAAACAGAAAUGUAAGAACAGUCAGGCUCCUGCCCAAACCUCAUGCCAGCCUGCAGCAGAGAGGAGACCAAGCUAUCUCCAGGCA